GGAGAAUUGCUUGAGCCUGGGAGAUGGAGGUUGCAGUGAGCUGAGAUCAUGCCACUGCGUUCCAGCCUGGGCGACAGAGUGAGACUCUGUCUC
rnacentral:miRNA from 1 species